GAUGAACGCUGGCGGCGUGCCUAAUACAUGCAAGUCGAGCGGACAGACGAAGCUCUUGCUCCUCUGACGUGAGCGGCGGACGGGUGAGGAACACGUGUAUAACCGGCCUAGGAGACUGAGGUAACGUCACGAGACCUGAUCUAAUACCGGAUAAGAUAGUGAACCGCAUGGUUCAAUAGUGAAAGACGUAUUUGCUGUCACUUAUAGAUGUAUCCGCGCCGGAUUAGCUAGUUGGUAAGGUAACGGCUUACCAAGGCAACGAUGCGUAGCCGAUCUGAGAGGAUGAUCAGUCACACUGGAACUGAGACACGGUCCAGACUCCUACGGGAGGCAGCAGUAGGGAAUAUUGCGCAAUGGGCGAAAGCCUGACGGAGCAAUGCCGCGUGAGUGAAGAAGGUCUUCGGAUCGUAAAGCUCUGUUAUUAGGGAAGAACAACUGUGUAAGUAUCUCUGCACGUCUUGACGUUACCUACUCAGAAAGCACCGGCUAACUACGUG
rnacentral:rRNA from 1 species